rnacentral:rRNA from 1 species
UACGUAGGGGGCAAGCGUUGUCCGGAUUUAUUGGGCGUAAAGAGCGUGUAGGCGGCUUGGUAGGUCCGCUGUGAAAACUCGAGGCUCAACCUCGAGAUGUCGGCGGAAACCACUUGGCUAGAGUCCGGAAGAGGAGAGUGGAAUUCCCUGUGUAGCGGUGAAAUGCGCAGAUAUCGGGAAGAACACCUAUGGCGAAGGCAGCUCUCUGGGACGGUACUGACGCUGAGACGCGAAAGCGUGGGGAGCGAACAGG